AGAGUUUGAUCCUGGCUCAGGACGAACGCUGGCGGCGUGCCUAAUACAUGCAAGUCGAGCGGACAGAUGGGAGCUUGCUCCCUGAUGUUAGCGGCGGACGGGUGAGUAACACGUGGGUAACCUGCCUGUAAGACUGGGAUAACUCCGGGAAACCGGGGCUAAUACCGGAUGGUUGUUUGAACCGCAUGGUUCAAACAUAAAAGGUGGCUUCGGCUACCACUUACAGAUGGACCCGCGGCGCAUUAGCUAGUUGGUGAGGUAACGGCUCACCAAGGCGACGAUGCGUAGCCGACCUGAGAGGGUGAUCGGCCACACUGGGACUGAGACACGGCCCAGACUCCUACGGGAGGCAGCAGUAGGGAAUCUUCCGCAAUGGACGAAAGUCUGACGGAGCAACGCCGCGUGAGUGAUGAAGGUUUUCGGAUCGUAAAGCUCUGUUGUUAGGGAAGAACAAGUACCGUUCGAAUAGGGCGGUACCUUGACGGUACCUAACCAGAAAGCCACGGCUAACUACGUGCCAGCAGCCGCGGUAAUACGUAGGUGGCAAGCGUUGUCCGGAAUUAUUGGGCGUAAAGGGCUCGCAGGCGGUUUCUUAAGUCUGAUGUGAAAGCCCCCGGCUCAACCGGGGAGGGUCAUUGGAAACUGGGGAACUUGAGUGCAGAAGAGGAGAGUGGAAUUCCACGUGUAGCGGUGAAAUGCGUAGAGAUGUGGAGGAACACCAGUGGCGAAGGCGACUCUCUGGUCUGUAACUGACGCUGAGGAGCGAGAGCGUGGGGAGCGAACAGGAUUAGAUACCCUGGUAGUCCACGCCGUAAACGAUGAGUGCUAAGUGUUAGGGGGUUUCCGCCCCUUAGUGCUGCAGCUAACGCAUUAAGCACUCCGCCUGGGGAGUACGGUCGCAAGACUGAAACUCAAAGGAAUUGACGGGGGCCCGCACAAGCGGUGGAGCAUGUGGUUUAAUUCGAAGCAACGCGAAGAACCUUACCAGGUCUUGACAUCCUCUGACAAUCCUAGAGAUAGGACGUCCCCUUCGGGGGCAGAGUGACAGGUGGUGCAUGGUUGUCGUCAGCUCGUGUCGUGAGAUGUUGGGUUAAGUCCCGCAACGAGCGCAACCCUUGAUCUUAGUUGCCAGCAUUCAGUUGGGCACUCUAAGGUGACUGCCGGUGACAAACCGGAGGAAGGUGGGGAUGACGUCAAAUCAUCAUGCCCCUUAUGACCUGGGCUACACACGUGCUACAAUGGACAGAACAAAGGGCAGCGAAACCGCGAGGUUAAGCCAAUCCCACAAAUCUGUUCUCAGUUCGGAUCGCAGUCUGCAACUCGACUGCGUGAAGCUGGAAUCGCUAGUAAUCGCGGAUCAGCAUGACGCGGUGAAUACGUUCCCGGGCCUUGUACACACCGCCCGUCACACCACGAGAGUUUGUAACACCCGAAGUCGGUGAGGUAACCUUUUAGGAGCCAGCCGCCGAAGGUGGGACAGAUGAUUGGGGUGAAGUCGUAACAAGGUA
rnacentral:rRNA from 1 species